GCGCCCGUAGCCCAAUUGGAUAGAGCAACGGACUACGAAUCCGUAGGUUCCCCGUUCGAAUCGGGGCGGGCGCACCA
rnacentral:tRNA from 1 species